ACCAGCCAGCACUUUGUGCAUGUUAGGGCGUCUCACAGGACAAAGACUGGGCGUACCCGGAAACACAUAAUAUACUACUGCUGAUGACAGGUAGAAACAUCACCUCUUUUAUGAUGCUGAUCUGAAGGUACAUCUCCAGCAGGAUGAAGAAAAGAGAUUCCUGUCACCUGAAAGAGAGAUGAAGCCUUCACACAGUGACAGCCAUUAUACACAUACGGGCUACAGAAUAGGCUGGAACACGUGGACUUUACAGUGAGGCUGCCCGGCCAUUUCCUUGCCUUUGACACAGAUCUCCAGUUUUCCACUUCUUUCCCUGAGGUGACUCCUGGACCCACUAUGCCGUCUCAUAUAAGCAGGGUGAUGUAAGACAAGCGUUGUCACCAACACUUCAGGGCACCUGUAUUCGUUUACCAUCAGCUGAUGAAAGAAGGGAGAUUAAUCACCAGGGUGAUUUCCUUAACCCCAGCCAUGCUUUCCCUGAAGUCUUAACAGGUCAUGGUGACAUGUUCUUUCAAUGUCAUAUGGGACAAAGUCCCCCAGAGGAUUAUCUGGAGAAACAGAAUCUGAUUAAAUAGUCACUGUUUGUUAAAGGCCACAGACUGAGUGAAAUUACAGGUUGCUUCAUAGGUUUUAAAUUGUUAAGAACUCUUACAUGUAUGGGGGUUUUGCUGCAUGUUAUCUGUGUAGCAUUUGCAUGCCUGGUGCUAUUGGAGGCUGGAAGAAGGCGUAGAAUGCCCUGGAGCUGGAGUGCAGAUGGUUACCAGCCACUGUGUGGGUACUGAGAAUCAGAAAAGCUGUCUCUCCUGCCCCACUUUGGAGAUUUUUAUCUGUAAAACAAAACAAGUUCUAGACUGUGGGAAUGAGCCAUUCGAUGCAGUGUAGGUUCCUGUUGCUCAUUAGCUAGGUUUAUAUAUGACCAGCAAUCUUAUCUCAAGGUCAGCCCAGUUCCCCAGCAUCUUAUAUGGAGUCAGGGCCAGUUUUAACUUUUUUUUUUUUUUUUUGAGAAAGGAUCUCUCUGUGUAGCCCUGGCUUUCCUGGAACUCACUGUGUAGACGAGGCUGGCCUCAGACUCAGCGAUCUGCUUCUGCCUCCUGAGUGAUAGAACUAAAGGGGUAUGUCAUAAUGUUCAGCUAGUUUAGCUUCUCCCUGACUUCUUCCGUUAUUCAUGAAAAGAUUAAAGUAUUUGUCACAGG